rnacentral:lncRNA from 1 species
UCUUUUCAUCACUUUUUCUCACUCAAACACACUACUCAAUCUGCACUUAAUCCGAUCUCUGUCUCCUCCAAUCCAACACUCAAAUCCUCCUUUUUCAAAUCCCUAACUUCUCUCUUCCAAUUAAGGAUUAUAUAUUUUCAAUUUUUCACACUUACUCCGAUCUCUAUAUUAUCAGUAUACAGUUAUGGCUUCCGCCGGAAAUCCAAACCAGCCCGGCGGAGUACCGUUUGAUAUGCAUAAAUUCUUCAAUCCUUCAACUCCUCCACCGCCAACUUCAACAAACCCUAAUCCCCAAAAUCCCAUUAACCCCACUUUGAUUUCUUCCCCAUUUCCACUUCCUUCAGCUUCUUAUCCUCCGCCCACCGCUGGCGGAGGCGGCGGUGGUAGCGGAGGACUGUAUUAUCCACCACAUACAACAACCCCUUUUCACCAUAUCCCUCAAUUCAAUCCCCAUAUCCCUACACAAUACGCACCUCAACAACAAGAUGGCCAUUUGCAUCCCCAAAGAUCCAUGUCUUUCCCUACACCUCCACACCCACCGCCGGCGGAGGCGGCGGUGGUAGCGGAGGACUGUAUUAUCCACCACAUACAACAACCCCUUUUCACCAUAUCCCUCAUUUCAAUCCCCAUAUCCCUACACAAUACGCACCUCAACAACAAGAUGGCCAUUUGCAUCCCCAAAGAUCCAUGUCUUUCCCUACACCCCCACUUCAACCACCUACUCCUACUAGUCCUCACCAAUUUUUGAACCCUAACCCUAAUCAUGGGGCGAGA